UCAGAAGUCGUAUAGUGGUAUUAUUCCCGAUUUGCGGCGCGGGAGACCCAGGUUCAAUCCCUGGCUUCUGAC